rnacentral:tRNA from 1 species
GGAGCAGUGGUUAAAACGCUUGACUGCUAACCAAAAGUUUGGUGGUUCAAAAUCACCAGCUGCUCCU